rnacentral:rRNA from 1 species
GAAACGCUGGCGGCGUGGCUAAGACAUGCAAGUCGUACGGUGUAGCAAUACACAGUGGCGAACGGGUGAGUAAUGAAUCGCUAACGUGCCCCGGACUCUGGGAUAGCUGCCCGAAAGGGCAGGUAAUACCGGAUGACAUACCCUUACCGCAUGGCAAGGGUCUCAAAGGUCCGCCGGUCUGGGAGCGGGCGAUUUCGUAUCAGCUAGUUGGUGGGGUAACGGCCCACCAAGGCGACGACGCGUAGCCGGACUGAGAGGUUGGCCGGCCACAUUGGGACUGAGACACUGCCCAGACUCCUACGGGGGGCUGCAGUAACGAAUCUUCCGCAAUGCACGCAAGUGUGACGGAGCGACGCCGCGUGGAGGACGAAGUUCUUCGGAAUGUAAACUCCUGUCAGGGGAAAGAAAGUUCUGAUCUACCCAGAGGAAGAGGCGGCUAACUCUGUGCCAGCAGCCGCGGUAAUACAGAGGCCUCGAGCGUUAGGCGGAAUCACUGGGCUUAAAGCGUGUGUAGGCGGACUUCUAAGUACCUUGUGAAAUCCCACGGCUUACCGUGGAACUGCUGGGUAUACUGGUUGUCUUGAGCCACUUUAGGGGCUACCGGAACAAAUGGUGGAGCGGUGAAAUGCGUUAAAU